rnacentral:rRNA from 1 species
UACAUGUGGGGCAAGCGUUUGUCCGGAAUUACUGGGCGUAAAGGGCGCGUAGGCGGCCCGUUAAGUCCGCUGUGAAAGACCGAGGCUCAACCUCGGGGUGUCAGCGGAGACUGUCGGGCUGGAGUCUCGGAGAGGGAUGCGGAAUUCCUGGUGUAGCGGUGGAAUGCGUAGAGAUCAGGAGGAACACCGAUGGCGAAGGCAGGUCUCUGGGCUGACACUGACGCUCAUGCACGAAAGCGUGGGGAGCAAACAGG